rnacentral:rRNA from 1 species
UACGGAGGGUGCAAGCGUUAUCCGGAUUCACUGGGUUUAAAGGGUGCGCAGGCGGACUGGCAAGUCAGGGGUGAAAUCUCACAGCUCAACUGUGAAACUGCCUUUGAUACUGCUGGUCUUGAGUCAGGGAGAGGUUGAUGGAAUUCCAGGUGUAGCGGUGAAAUGCGUAGAUAUCUGGAAGAACACCGGUGGCGAAGGCGGUCAACUGGCCCUGAACUGACGCUCAGGCACGAAAGCGUGGGGAUCGAAAACAGG